CUACGUAGCUCAGAGUUUGAUCCUGGCUCAGGACGAACGCUGGCGGCGUGCCUAACACAUGCAAGUCGAACGGAGCUCCUUCGGGGGCUUAGUGGCGAACGGGUGAGUAACGCGUGAGAAACCUGCCUUUCAGUGUGGGAUAGCGGUUGGAAACGACCGGUAAUACCGCAUAAUGUAUUUUAGGGGCAUCCCUUUAAUACCAAAGAUUUAUUGCUGAAAGAUGGUCUCGCGUCUGAUUAGCUAGAUGGCGGGGUAACGGCCCACCAUGGCGACGAUCAGUAGCCGGUCUGAGAGGAUGAACGGCCACAUUGGGACUGAGAUACGGCCCAG
rnacentral:rRNA from 1 species